rnacentral:rRNA from 1 species
GACGAACGCUGGCGGCGUGCCUAACACAUGCAAGUCGAACGGGGUCCAUGGGAGCUUGCUCCCGGAAGACCUAGUGGCGAACGGGUGAGUAACACGUGAGAAACCUGCCCUGGAGUGGGGAAUAACUCGGGGAAACUCGAGCUAAUACCGCAUACCCUCGGAUGGUCGCAUGGCCGACCGAGGAAAGAUUCAUCGCUUCAGGAGGGUCUCGCGGCCUAUCAGCUAGUUGGNGGGUAACGGCCUACCAAGGCAACGACGGGUAGCUGGUUUGAGAGAACGAUCAGCCACACUGGGACUGAGACACGGCCCAGACUCCUACGGGAGGCAGCAGUGGGGAAUAUUGGACAAUGGGCGAAGACCUGAUCCAGCAAUGCCGCCGUGUGUGAAGAAGG